ensembl:misc_RNA Y_RNA Y RNA
AGUUAGACCAACGGUAGUGAGUUAUCUCAGUUGAUUGUUCACCGCCAGUUACAGAUUGAACUUCUCAUUCUACUCAUUCCCCUAUUCUCACUACUGCCCUUGGCUAGUCUUAA